UACGGGGGGGGGCAAGCGUUGUUCGGAAUUACUGGGCGUAACGGGCUCGUAGGCGGCCAACUAAGUCGGACGUGAAAUCCCCAGGCUCAACCUGGGAACUGCGUCCGAUACUGGAUGGCUUGAAUCCGGGAGAGGGAUGCAGAAUUCCAGGUGUAGCGGUGAAAUGCGUAGAUAUCUGGAGGAAUACCGGUGGCGAAGGCGGCAUCCUGGACCGGCAUUGACGCUGAGGAGCGAAAGCCAGGGGAGCAAACGGG
rnacentral:rRNA from 1 species